AGAGUUUGAUCAUGGCUCAAGAUGAACGCUAGCGGCAGGCUUAACACAUGCAAGUCGAGGGGCAGCGCGGGAUAGCAAUAUCCUGGCGGCGACCGGCGGAAGGGUGCGUAACGCGUGAGCGACAUGCCCGUUGCCCGGGGACAACCGGUGGAAACGCCGACUAAUCCCCGAUGGGAUACGAUGCUUCAUGGCAUUGUAUUGAAAGUUACGGCGGCGACGGAUUGGCUCGCGUCCGAUUAGCUUGUUGGCGGGGUAACGGCCCACCAAGGCUACGAUCGGUAGGGGUUCUGAGAGGAAGGCCCCCCACAAUGGGACUGAGACACGGCCCAUACUCCUACGGGAGGCAGCAGUGAGGAAUAUUGGUCAAUGGGCGGAAGCCUGAACCAGCCAUGCCGCGUGCGGGAAGGAGGCCCUAUGGGCUGUGAACGGCUUUUGCCUGGGGGCAAUAAGGGCGUCGCGCACGUCCGAUGAGAGUACAGGCGAAUAAGCAUCGGCUAACUCCGUGCCAGCAGCCGCGGUAAUACGGGGGAUGCGAGCGUUAUCCGGAUUCAUUGGGUUUAAAGGGUGCGUAGGCUGUGCGUCAAGUCGGGGGUGAAAUUCCGGUGCUCAACACCGGGGCUGCCCUUGAUACUGUCGCGCUGGAGUGCGGAUGCCGCCGGAGGAAUGAGUGGCGUAGCGGUGAAAUGCUUAGAUAUCACUCAGAACACCGGAGGCGAAGGCGGCUCACUGGACUGUAACUGACACUGAGGCUCGAAAGCGUGGGGAGCAAACAGGAUUAGAUACCCUGGUAGUCCACGCGGUAAACGAUGAAUACUAGAUGUCGGGUAGCAAAGCUAUUCGGUGUCGUCGCAAACGCAAUAAGUAUUCCACCUGGGGAGUACGUUCGCAAGAAUGAAACUCAAAGGAAUUGACGGGGACCCGCACAAGCGGUGGAGCAUGUGGUUUAAUUCGAAGCAACACGAAGAACCUUACCUGCUCUUGACAUCCCAUUCGAUAGAGGGUAAUGCCUCUAGCCCUUCGGGGGAAUGGAGACAGGUGGUGCAUGGUUGUCGUCAGCUCGUGUCGCGAGAUGUUGGGUUAAGUCCCGCAACGAGCGCAACCCUUAUUGUCAGUAGCCAGCAGGUGAAGCUGGGCACUCUGAUGAGACUGCCGGGGAUAACCCGGAGGAAGGUGGGGAUGACGUCAAAUCAUCAUGCCCCUUAUGAGCAGGGCUACACACGUGCUACAGUGGCGUAAACAGAGGGAAGCGAAGGAGUGAUCUGGAGCAAAUCUCAAAAAUAACGUCUCAGCUCGGAUUGUAGUCUGCAACUCGACUACAUGAAGCUGGAAUCGCUAGUAAUCGCAGAUCAGAAUGCUGCGGUGAAUACGUUCCCGGGUCUUGUACACACCGCCCGUCACACCAUGGGAGUCGGUAAUGCCCGAAGUCAGUGACUCAACCGAAAGGAGAGAGCUGCCGAAGGCAGGACUGGUAACUGGGGUGAAGUCGUAACAAGGUA
rnacentral:rRNA from 1 species